UACGUAGGUGGCAAGCGUUGUCCGGAAUUAUUGGGCGUAAAGCGCGCGCAGGCGGUUUCGUAAGUCUGUCUUAAAAGUGCGGGGCUUAACCCCGUGAGGGGAUGGAAACUAUGGAACUGGAGUAUCGGAGAGGAAAGCGGAAUUCCUAGUGUAGCGGUGAAAUGCGUAGAUAUUAGGAAGAACACCAGUGGCGAAGGCGGCUUUCUGGACGACAACUGACGCUGAGGCGCGAAAGCCAGGGGAGCGAACGGG
rnacentral:rRNA from 1 species